rnacentral:rRNA from 1 species
AUUGAACGCUGGCGGCAUGCCUUACACAUGCAAGUCGAACGGUAACAGGUUAAGCUGACGAGUGGCGAACGGGUGAGUAAUGUAUCGGAACGUGCCCAGUCGUGGGGGAUAACUACUCGAAAGAGUGGCUAAUACCGCAUACGACCUGAGGGUGAAAGCGGGGGAUCGCAAGACCUCGCGCGAUUGGAGCGGCCGAUAUCAGAUUAGGUAGUUGGUGGGGUAAAGGCCUACCAAGCCAACGAUCUGUAGCUGGUCUGAGAGGACGACCAGCCACACUGGGACUGAGACACGGCCCAGACUCCUACGGGAGGCAGCAGUGGGGAAUUUUGGACAAUGGGCGCAAGCCUGAUCCAGCCAUGCCGCGUGCGGGAAGAAGGCCUUCGGGUUGUAAACCGCUUUUGUCAGGGAAGAAACGGCUUUCUCUAAUACAGAGGGCUAAUGACGGUACCUGAAGAAUAAGCACCGGCUAACUACGUGCCAGCAGCCGCCGUAAAAC